AAAAAAGAAGACAACUGCCGUGUGCACAGUCCAACGCUUUGCGAGAACGCCCUUGGGAAAACUCGAGCUUUCAGGAGGUGUCUGGCGGGUGUACUUAACCUCUGUCCCUUCAUACGAACUGGACCAACCAAAUCAGUCUCCUCACUUCUCAGACCUUACAUUUCCCUAGCAAGGUUAUGAAGCUUGAGAAAACGCUUCACUUCCUCGCAUGUUCUCAUUAUCUGCUAAUGCUAAUUCAUCGCUUCUCUUCCCUUACUGGUUUAAGUCUCUCUGUUUCACGAAAUCAUGGAGUUGUGCCUUUCUAGCAAUCGCGAAUCUACAUGUAUAUAUCAAACAACUGACAUAGCUUUCUCCUGAAAAUGGGAAUAGUGCAAGUGCAGCUAAUAUGAGCAAGAUUAGGCCAUAUCUCGCGAAAUCAGUUCUUUUGGAGUGCAUUUCUAGAUGCAAUAACUUGAAAUAUUUCAAGACGAUCCAUGCACAAUUAGUUACUUCAGGCAUUGUUCGUAAUGACUUAGUUGUCAACAGAGUUGUUGACUUCUUUGGAAAAUCUGGUGAUUUUGUUCAUUACGCUUGUGGUUUUCUGAAACAAUUUGAUUGGCGCAUAAGCUCAUUCCCUUUUAAUAGUUUGAUUUCUUGCUACGCUAACAGUAGUAGGCCACAAAUAGCAAUUUUGGGUUAUAGACAGAUAGUGAGAAAUGGGUUUUUACCCGAUGUUUACACUUUCCCUGCGGUUCUGAAAUCAUGCUCAAAGUUUCUGGGGAUCGGAGAGGGAAGACAGAUUCACGGGGUUGUUUCUAAGAUGGGCCUUGUGAACGAUAUCUAUGUGCAAAACUCACUUCUUCAUUUACAUGGUGUUUGUGGUGAUUGUGAUGGUGCUGGCAGAGUGUUUGACGAGAUGCUCGUGAGAGAUGUGGUCUCUUGGACCAGUAUCAUUUCCGGUUAUGUGAGGGCAGGGUUAUUUGAUGAGGCUGUAACUAUGUUUUUGAGGAUGGAAGUUGAGCCAAAUGUCGCAACAUUUGUUAGCGUGUUAGUUGCUUGUGGGAGAAAUAGAAAUCUGAGUGUUGGGAAGGGAAUUCAUGGGUUGACUUUUAAGCGUGCCUUAGACGGAUGUUUGGAGGCCAGUAAUGCACUCAUAGAUAUGUAUGUUAAGUGUGAGUGUUUGAAUGAAGCCAAGCAAAUAUUUGACGAGCUUCCUCAGAAAGAUAUAAUUUCUUGGACCAGUAUUAUAAGCGGAUUGGUCCAAUAUAAACGUUCCAAGGACUCGUUGGAGUUGUUUUAUGAUAUGCAAAACUCAGGCGUUCAGCCUGAUAGGAUUAUACUUACCAGUGUGCUUUCAGCUUGCGCAGCCAUUGGAGUUCUUGAUUAUGGCAGAUGGGUACAUGAGUACAUGGAACGGAGGGCAAUCAAAUGGGAUAUUCACAUUGGAACUGCUAUGGUUGACAUGUAUGCAAAAUGUGGCUGCAUAGAUAUUGCAGUUCAGACCUUCAAUGGAAUGGCAAGUAAGAAUAUAUUUACAUGGAAUGCUUUGCUAAAUGGGCUGGCAAUGCAUGGACGUGGCUACGAGGCACAGAAACUUUUUGAAGAAAUGGUAAGGAUGGGCAUGACGCCAAAUGAGGUGACAUUUCUUGCCAUUUUGACAGCUUGUUCCCACUCUGGCUUGGUAGAUGAAGGGCGUAAAUACUUUUGUCAGAUGACAAACUGUCAGUAUAAUCUUUCUCCAAGGUUAGAACACUAUGGGUGCAUGAUAGAUUUGCUUUGCAGGGCUGGACUAUUGGAUGAAGCUUUACAUCUGGUGAAAAGUAUGCCUAUGCCACCUGAUGUGCUUAUAGUGGGAGCUCUUCUUAGUGCUUGCAAAGCUAAAGGAAUUUCCGAUAUCUCUCGACGUAUACUAGACCACCUCAUAGAACUUGAGUCUCAAGAUAGUGGGGUUUACGUGCUCCUCUCUAAUAUAUAUGCUUCUAACAAAAGAUGGACUGAUGUGACUAAAGUUAGGAGGUUGAUGAAUAAGAAAGGAAUUAAAAAGUUCCCUGGAAUGAGUAUUGUAGAGGUGGAUGGUAAGGCACAUGAGUUUCUUGCUGGGGAUAUUAGCCAUCCUCGAAAUGAGGAGGCUUGGAUAUUGCUGAAGUUCCUCACCAACCAAAUCUUCCUUGAAGGGCAUCUGCAGGACUAUUAUUGACAACAUAAACACAUUUCUUGGAAAUUAAACAACCAACGGUUUUACUUGAGCAGCUGGCCUGGAAGUAUAUUCAUGUUUCUUGAUGCUACUAUGGUUUGAGACUUGGAGGCUGGAGUUUCUGGUACUUCCUGUUCUGCAGCUGUUCUUGCUGUUUCAGUCUCAGAGGUUUCUGAUGCUUUCUUUUUUCCAGUUUUUACUUUGGUUUGGGACUCGGAGGUUUCUCCUUGUUCCAGUUCUCCAAAAUAUAUCUUUGGGACGGGCAUUGGACCUGAAAAAGAGUUUGAUGUAUCUAAUUCAUCUUCUAAAACAAAUUUAUACAUCUUUUCAAGUUCUUUAUCAGUACCAGAAGAAUUGUCCAGGAACCAAACAGCUUCUUUGCUGGGACAAGACUUACCAUUCCAGUAAUGGUUGAUUCUGCCAAGAGGGGAACAGUAGAGGCAUCCAAAUCCAGAUGGGUUUUCCCCAAAAAUCUUGUAGAAGGAACAAAUGAGGAAGUCUGGGCGAAUGAGAGGGAGGCCAAAGCUGUCCAUGCCUUUUGGUCCCAAUGCACAAGCAUCAAUCAAGAUAUGCAGCCAUUCUCCUGAGGAUACUCAAUCACAAAUAAGGAUAUCUGGCUCCAGUCACUCUAGAAUGAAGAGGAAAGACAAAUAGUCCUCUCUUCAUGUUCUUUUUUCUGUUCCUCAUUACCAUCUUCCUUAAGUUUGCUGAAUCAAUCCUGAGCCUAGGCCAUGAGAACUCGGCUGACAUGACUUCGCCUCCUUUUUUCUUAGAACAGUUAAUCAUGGUUUCUACUGCUUCACUUUCAUAGUCAUAACAGUCAGAAGCUUCUGACUAUAUUGGAAAGGACUCUAAUUCUGAUUCUUGGCCACCGUGAAGUAGCUGUGUCUUCAGAUUUCCCAUCUUGUAGGAGACACUGAAUAAGAGAAAAUGUGAAAUUUGAGGAGGUGAAUGUGGAGAAGAAGAGACAAUUUGUUUUCUGGAGUCAUGUUUUUGUAGCUGGGAAUAGGAGAAGAGACCGAUGCCCAAUAUAAUCAAGGAAGGUACGGUGGGAGAGUGAGAUAUGAUAGUAUUCCUGUUCUCAAAUUUGAUCAACUUGACAGGUUUCAUUAUAUUGUGGAUAAGCUUUGGAGAAUUCAGCAAAUGUUUCUUGCAAAGAUGGGAGAGACUCGGGGUUUGCGAAGACAGAGGAAGCAGCUGUCUCUGCAAAGUUCUGGCGACAUGUUGCUAUUGUGCUUCUGGUCUUGCCCCUUUGUUUCUGGGGCUCAGGAAAGCCAAGUUGAGGGCUGAGGCAGCGGCAAUUGAGGCAUGACUGGGAGGUUUCUUUUAUGUAAGUAAUCACUUGGUUGUAAACGGGAUGGGGACGGGGUGCCUCUCACGCUCCACAGGGACAUGUUGAACAGUUGGGUAUCCGGCAAAUGUUCAAAGCAACAUAUGUAAGCGGACGACAAAACCCAUUCUUACCGAUAAUGACCCUGAAAGCUUCCUUCAAAUUUGCUUCCGGUUUAAGGCAUUUGAUUUCCAGGUAACAAAAAGCCCCACUCCAGCGCUUGGUGAGUGCCUAUUUAUAGGGGUGCCAUGUGUGGUCCUGUAAUCAUUACUAAGGUUGGUUGUAUUGCCUGCUCUAAGUCUCUUCAAAAGUGGUUUUGUGCUUUUCUUAUACAAAACUUGGAAUGCCAAGUCCAGAUCCUCAAUAUUUAUCAAAGGAACAAUUCUAUCCGAGGACUAUCCUUGGAUAUUAUAGCGUAAA